GUGGUGUUUGGAUCGUCCCUGCCGGCUGGCUCCGUGCCCGUCCACCGAACGGUCGGCAGGCGAUCUGCGUCGGUCAUUUUGGGUGGUAUGGUUCCCCAGAGGCCGGUUCUUGUGCUGCCUACCCCUUCAGGGGAAGCGGGCCACUUGAUGUAAGCCUCCAUCCGGCGCCCUCCAACGGGCGCAGGAGGACAACGGAGCACCCCCCGCGUUCCACCGAGCCUUAGCCGGUCGCGUGGCGCGCGGGGACGUGCGAUGCUCUCGGACCCAGCGAACCCCGUGGGCGAGGACUCACGUCCCAGUCCCGAUAGAAGCUACGAUAUAAUGGAUGACGGCCGCUCCCGACCCCCGACCGCCCCGGCGGCGCGGGGGCGAGGCGCGGCGUCGCGGAGGAAUGCUACCUGGUUGAUCCUGCCAGUAGUCAUAUGCUUGUCUCAAAGAUUAAGCCAU
rnacentral:misc_RNA from 1 species